ACAGCAGCAGCCACGGUAAUACGUAGGUGGCAAGCGUUGUCCGGAAUUAUUGGGCGUAAAGGGCUCGCAGGCGGUUUCUUAAGUCUGAUGUGAAAGCCCCCGGCUCAACCGGGGAGGGUCAUUGGAAACUGGGAGACUUGAGUGCAGAAGAGGAGAGUGGAAUUCCACGUGUAGCGGUGAAAUGCGUAGAGAUGUGGAGGAACACCAGUGGCGAAGGCGACUCUCUGGUCUGUAACUGACGCUGAGGAGCGAAAGCGUGGGGAGCGAACAGGAUUAGAUACCCCUGUAGUCCCUGUCUCUUAUAC
rnacentral:rRNA from 1 species